GGGGGGGGGGGGGGGGGGGCGGGGGGGAGGGGGGUCGGGGGGGGGGGGGCUGCGGGGGGGGGGUGGUGGAGUGGGGGGGGGGUGGGGAGGGAGUGCGUACCCUGCCCUUUACUGUGGGAUCACUUCACGAGACUGGGGCUAAUCCCGGAGUGGAGCUCCUGCUGCCUGGUGGGGGUUGGCCCGUUUCGGCGGUUGGGGCUGUACCCGCAGCUUAUCAGCUUGUUGGUGGGGUAGUGGCUUAACAAGGCUUUGACGGCUAGCCGGCCUGAGAGGGUGACCGGCCACAUUGGGACUGAGGUACGGCCCAGACUCCUAAGGGAGGCAGAAGUGGGGAAUAUUGCACAAUGGGCGGAAGACUGAUGCAGCAACGCCGCGUGCGGGAUGACGGCCUUCGGGUUGUAAACCGCUUUCGCCUGUGACGAAGCGUGAGUGACGGUAAUGGGUAAAGAAGCACCGGCUAACUACGUG
rnacentral:rRNA from 1 species